CUCUGACGUUAGCGGCGGACGGGUGAGUAACACGUGGAUAACCUACCUAUAAGACUGGGAUAACUUCGGGAAACCGGAGCUAAUACCGGAUAAUAUAUUGAACCGCAUGGUUCAAUAGUGAAAGACGGUUUUGCUGUCACUUAUAGAUGGAUCCGCGCCGCAUUAGCUAGUUGGUAAGGUAACGGCUUACCAAGGCAACGAUGCGUAGCCGACCUGAGAGGGUGAUCGGCCACACUGGAACUGAGACACGGUCCAGACUCCUACGGGAGGCAGCAGUAGGGAAUCUUCCGCAAUGGGCGAAAGCCUGACGGAGCAACGCCGCGUGAGUGAUGAAGGUCUUCGGAUCGUAAAACUCUGUUAUUAGGGAAGAACAAAUGUGUAAGUAACUAUGCACGUCUUGACGGUACCUAAUCAGAAAGCCACGGCUAACUACGUGCCAGCAGCCGCGGUAAUACGUAGGUGGCAAGCGUUAUCCGGAAUUAUUGGGCGUAAAGCGCGCG
rnacentral:rRNA from 1 species